AUGAAGAGAAACCUCCUCAUCAUCCUCAUCAUCACAUCAGGUGUGUUUGGUGCUGAUGAAAUCAGACCAUCAAAAGAUCAGGAGACUGAUGUUUCUGGAAAAGAAGGAGAACCUGUUAUACUGAAAUGCUCUUAUGACUCAAAUAGUCAAUAUGUCUAUCUCUACUGGUACAGACAGUAUCCUAACAGAGCUCUACAGUAUCUACUGCUGAGAGGUGCUCGUCAGCGGAGUGACAGUAAUAUUGCCGACCACAGAUUUUCAUCAACUACAUCCAGCUCUUCCACUGAGCUCACUCUUAGAGAACCAAGACUGGCAGAUACAGCUCUCUACUACUGUGCUCUUAGAGUUGGAGCCCAGUGAUACAAAGUCUCUGAGACGCUUUACAAAAACUCACACACCUUCUGUUUGCUUUGAACACAAAGAGAUCAAAGUAACAUCCAAACCACAGUGUGUUAUCUGUUUUUAUUCUCUCUCUGAAACCACCAAGGUUAAAUUUCUGAGGUAA